rnacentral:rRNA from 1 species
CACGUAGGGGGCAAGCGUUGUCCGGAUUUAUUGGGCGUAAAGAGCUCGUAGGCGGCUCGGUAAGUUGGGUGUUAAACCCCCAGGCUUAACCUGGGGACGCCACCCUAUACUGCCGUGGCUAGAGUCCGGUAGGGGAGCGUGGAAUUCCUGGUGUAGCGGUGAAAUGCGCAGAUAUCAGGAGGAACACCGGUGGCGAAGGCGGAUCUCUGGGCCUUACCUGACGCUGAGGCGCGAAAGCUAGGGGAGCGAACAGG